rnacentral:ncRNA from 1 species
UGGGCAUGCGCGGGAGAGAGCGGGCCCAAGCCCGCCGCCGAAGGAGCAACCACCCCGGAAUCUCUCAGGCAGACGGGACCGCGCACGCCAA